AAACACGCUAAACAAAAGGAUAGCUUAUGAAUUCGCCCUCGACCUAAAAUUCAGACUUCCCUGUGUGAAAUCUCUCCCUCCUUGAAACCUCCUGAGCUCCUAUCUCUUUCAUUGAAACCCUCCUGAGCUAUCUGAAACACUCCCUCUCUCACCCUUCUACUCCUCAUACGUACCUACCAGCCAUCGAGACAGUGACGCCGUCGACGCCAUCGUUUUCUUCGCAUCAGUCAUCACCAGCCGCCAUCGACGCCAUCUUCACAGUCAACGACGGCAAUGUCCUUGAAAACAAAUCUAGAGACCUUGCGAGAGGGGAAAAGCCUAGAACAUUAGAUCUGUCAUCGAACCUCAGGUGACAGAUCAGAGAGACAAAGGAGAAGAUGAGCUGGUCUUCGAUGUCGCCUGAGGUUCGAUGGCAGAUCUCCAUCGCGCCUUCUUGGUCAUCGAACUCGCCAUCCACGUCACAGAUCUCGCCGUCUUGGUCAUUCUCGAGUUUGAUAAAGAUUCAUUCUCCCUUGGUGAACUUUUCAAUUAUAGGUGAAUCCAAUCCAGUAUGAAUCAAUUGGUAAUAGAAUUUCUUUCAUUAUUUCUUUUUUUUUUCGCAGAGCAUCAAUGAAUGGGUUUGAUGUCAAGAGUAGGAAUCUCUGUUUUUGGUAACUUAGAAACCGAGCACACAGAAACAGAAGGAAAUCACGGCCAAUUUAGGCCAAAGAAGAAAGAAGUCUACGAAUUGGGUUGCUAAAAAACUCUGAGUUGGUGAAUCCAAUGGGUGGACUUCUAGAGGCCUUGUUGAUUACAAUGACUGAUUUGAUAUGAAACAAAAACACAGCGCAUGUCUGAUUUGAUAAGUUUUCAACUUGCAAUUGUAUUAUUAUUAUUUUUUGUUACAAGCAGAUCCAGUUUGAUGCAAUAAUUUUGUAUCCAGUUUCCAUUGCAGGUUUUUGGUCAGAAUUAAGAAGGAAAUUGUUUGGAAUGUCAGGCACUAAGAAUUCCUUUGUAGCAAACUGAUAAAGACAUAUUGAAAUUGGUUUUUUUUCAGCAAUGUGAAGGAUAACAUUUGACGAUGGGCAAAGGCUAAGGACAAUGGAUAGGCAUGUAAAAUAGCAGUUUUUCUUUGAGAGAUAAUAAGAUCCAGCUGGUAGCUCAAAGACCCAGCUGGUAGACAACUUAGAAGAAAUAUAAGAUCCAUUUGACAAAGAUGACAGCUGAAUGUGGAGAACAAGUACAAAUUGUGGAAGAUACAACAACUUUAGGUUAAUGCUUUGUACAUGGUAUUUUGUAAUUAUAGGAUAUAAUGUAAUAGAUAUGGUAUUUUGUAUGGAUAUAGUAGGAAUCAAGAUUGGUAAACAAUGUAAUUACAAUUGAAUCUUCCAAGUUUUAUGA